AGGGACUGCAACUUUUGCCCAUACUGGUCAUGUGUAGGUUGGGUGACCUGGGGAAAAACACUAGACUAAGACCUGAUAGUUCAGAGGUUACCUACUACUCCUCAUUGUAAAUCAAUGGAGUGUAAUCCUGUACACACACAGCAAUUUAUUAAUAAGUUUGGGAAUCUUUUCGGUUUCCAAAUAUAUGGUACAGGGACAGACCCAGGAGCCACCUAUAUAUAGGCAUUAUAACCGAGACCCUGAAUGCCCAGACUCAUC